rnacentral:rRNA from 1 species
AUUGAACGCUGGCGGCAGGCUUAACACAUGCAAGUCGAGCGAGCGGCGGACGGGUGAGUAAUGUCUGGGAAACUGCCUGAUGGAGGGGGAUAACUACUGGAAACGGUAGCUAAUACCGCAUACCAUCAGAUGUGCCCAGAUGGGAUUAGCUAGUAGGUGGGGUAAUGGCUCACCUAGGCGACGAUCCCUAGCUGGUCUGAGGGGAUGACCGGCCAACCUGGAACUGGAACACGGUCCAGCCUCCAAGGGGGGGCAGAGGUGGGGAAUAUUGCACAAUGGGGGAAGGCCUGAUGCGGCCAUGCCGGGUGUGGGAAGAGGGCCUUCGGGUUGUAAAGCACUUUCAGCGAGGAGGCGUUACUCGCAGAAGAAGCACCGGCUAACUCCGUGCCAGCCGCCGCGGUAAUC